ACCAUAGAGAGAAAAAACUAACUAAACGAAAAGGAACCAUUUUUUUAUGUAUUAUGUGCAUGAUUUGUGGAACUAUAUCUGUCAAACUUAAACUUAGAUUUUGUGUCAUAAAAAUAGUCUCCUUCGAGGCAUAAUAACAGAAGCAGAAAAGACCCACUUUCGGAGAAUACAAUACCCACUUUCGGAGAAUACAAUACCGAAGUGUCAUUGUCUACAAUAGGGGCCAUAAUAUCACUCUAAUAAUAAGGUUGCUAAUGGCAUAAACCUAACGCAAAUUUCCAUCAGUGAUAGAAAGCAUUAUAACCACUAGAGUUUCAACUCUAUAUCGGAUGAGACACUGGAAAA
rnacentral:lncRNA from 1 species